GAUGAACGCUGGCGGCGUGCCUAAUACAUGCAAGUCGAGCGAACAGACGAGAAGCUUGCUCCUCUGACGUUAGCGGCGGACGGGUGAGUAACACGUGGAUAACCUACCUAUAAGACUGGGAUAACUUCGGGAAACCGGAGCUAAUACCGGAUAAUAUAUUGAACCGCAUGGUUCAAUAGUGAAAGACGGUCUUGCUGUCACUUAUAGAUGGAUCCGCGCCGCAUUAGCUAGUUGGUAAGGUAACGGCUUACCAAGGCAACGAUGCAUAGCCGACCUGAGAGGGUGAUCGGCCACACUGGAACUGAGACACGGUCCAGACUCCUACGGGAGGCAGCAGUAGGGAAUCUUCCGCAAAGGGCGAAAGCCUGACGGAGCAACGCCGCGUGAGUGAUGAAGGUCUUCGGAUCGUAAAACUCUGUUAUUAGGGAAGAACAUAUGUGUAAGUAACUGUGCACAUCUUGACGGUACCUAAUCAGAAAGCCACGGCUAACUACGUG
rnacentral:rRNA from 1 species